CCCCGGUUCAAAUCCGGGUGUCGCCUGAUUAAGGUGGAGAAAGCGAAGGAGAAGGAAAAGUUGUGAUUUCC
rnacentral:tRNA from 1 species